GGAGGGAUCUGCGUCCCGACGCAGGUCAGGGUGGGUACGCCCCUGAAUUCCAGACCGGUCUUGAAAACCGUCGUGGUGGCGACAUCACCGUGGGUUCAAAUCCCACACCCUCCG
rnacentral:tRNA from 1 species